GUUUUGGUCAACUUGCUCUGGUUCGCUGUGAUGGCUUCAACACAUGGAAAUAAAAUGUGUUUUAUUAGUUUGGAGCUGGAAGUUGAUGUGUGUCAUUAUUCUCCUUUAAUCCCAGAAGCAAAGCAGAUAUUAUUUUAGAUGAACUGAGCUCAUUCUAGCCGCCUCGCUGUCUUCUUCCUAAAUCUUUAUUUGGACUGUUGUUUGGAUGUUUAACACAGGGAGAGCAUCUCAACACGUCUUUAGCACUUUGUACUUUUUAAGUGUAAUUUCUGCUGUUUUAGUGGUAGGCAUGCUGCUGUUUAGGAUGGGAUUCAGAGCAGCUGUUUUGCAGCAGCUCUGUUAUAUUACUAGAUAAACGUAGGAUUGAUGGGGCCACAUGGAACUGACGGAACUGAUUUAAAACCUCUAAGAGGGAAAACACUCCCGUUAUUUACAGACCCAGAGAUAGCAGCACCUGAUCUACUGAAACAAGCUGUCCAGAAAAUGAGAACAUUUAACAAGGACAUGCACGAAGGACCUUAUGUCCUUUUGUAUCCAGACUGCUCAGAGGUGGUCCAUGUGCCUGGUUCAGAAAGGCCAUUUAAAUUGGCAGAAUAUAAAAAGGAAAUAGGAAAGGCAUAUUCCAGGAUUACUUUUUUCAUUUGCCUAGAAAAGCUCUUUAAAAGAGAGUACGAUACCUCAGAUUCUGAUUCUGAAAUUGUCAUCACAACAAGGAGCAGAGCUGAAUUCAAUCGAGCUGACACUUUGGUUUUUGAACCACAAAAUCGAAGUACUCCCAAAUACAAACUGGAAGAUGAAAGGUAGGUGUUGCGCACUUGGACACAAAGAAACUUUCAGGCUUGCAUGGGUUGAAAUUAUUUAUUUACGUCUUGACUGGAAAUGAUGAUAAUAAUUCAUA